AGCCUCAAGGUCAAACGGUUAAGAUGUCCGACUGUCUAUCGGUACGGAGUGGGUUCGACUCCCAUUGGGGCUG
rnacentral:tRNA from 1 species